rnacentral:lncRNA from 1 species
CCCAUUUUCACUUUUAUCUACAUCUCUAUCAGCCUUGUAGCCUAAAGGCCUGCUGGUCCAUCUAGAAAAGGCAUGAGCUGUGCACUAGUACCUCUCAGGAGAAUGAUAGUGGUGGUGGGUACCAGCAGCCGGAAGGAAGAACAAACACAAGAGGUGAAGGAUAUGUGUUCAGAUUCCCAGCUCCUCCUGAGGGGCUUUCCAAGAUGAGAGCCAUUACCUGGUGACAAAGGGGCAGAUUCCUGGGAUAUCAAGUCACAAUUUGUUCAAUGAUGGGGUCACAGGAAGUGGCAUCAGUUAUACAAAUGCAAAUGUCAUUUUCCUACAUCAAACCCAGGGUCCACCCCAACCUGUGCUCUGGCUCCUUGAUCAUCAAUACAGAGCAAAGAUGUGACCUUGGAGACUGUGUCUCCCUUGAACACACUAACCCUACAAAAGGGGAAGGGCACAAUAAGGCCCAGGCCUGAACUUGUCUCCAUGAGUUUCCUUCUCCCUUGCCAGGCAAUCUUAAGCCUUCACCAAGUACCCCCUGGGAAUCACUCAUCAGACUAUGGGCCCUGGGGUCCAUUUCCACUUUGACCUGUCUUCUGAGCCUGAUUCUCACUCUCUUCUGAAAAAAAUCAGCCCUCUCUAGAGGGGACCUGAUGCCUGGCAUGUCACCCCAUACUACUUAAUCGCUGGCUUGUCUCCUCAGAUAUUUUAGACCAUAGUCUUUCCAUGUUAGCCAGGAAAGGGGAAAAAUAAAGCCACCUUUACCUGCAUCUGUAUACACCUUGUAGGCCAAAACCCUGAUGGCCCACCCACCUCAGCUGUAGAUCCUCACCUUGACCCAACACAGGAUCUGGUCUGACCCCUUCAGUCCAACCCAACUGUUGCCUACCAGCUCUUCCCCACCGAAAGUGUAACUCAUCACAUCUCCAAAAUGACCUCCCUGGGUCCCCAGUAGCUGCCAGAAUGGCUCUGCACCCCUUGUUUUGGUGUGGUGACCGUGAUCUGCCACAUGUCCUUUAGGCUAGCAGGUAGGCAAGGAGCCACACAUCUGGCAACUUCUGCUAAGCUGAGUUCUAGAGCACUGCAUUUCCCUCAAGCCUAGAGAGGGAAAAGACAAAGAUUGGUCUGAAUCUGAGUGCCUAAGGCCUGGGCCCAAACAAAAAGUGGAGGGAUGCCAGGCUCCACAAUCUGCUUUCAGGUUGAAAUGGUAGCAAAAAGGAUCCCAGAAACACACUAUACUACAAGAGUACAUACAGCUUUAGGUCUAUGUGCCCUUGACAGUGCAGGUCCCCACAAGAGUACCUGGGCUGUAUACACACUGAAGAGUGGUCCCAGCUACUUCCUCACAGGCCAAACUACACCAGCCUGGCCUUCAGUGGACAGAGAUCACUAACUCCCUCCUCCCUACCAGCCCUUAACACUCCAACACAGUUAACCUUUCCCCUCACUCCCCACUCACUCUAUCCCAUAGGCUCUGGGUCAGCAGAGCCAGGGGUGAGGAACACCAGGACUUGGGCAAGAGUGGGGCCCUGAAUCAGGGAGACCUGUUUCACAGACACUUACAGGGAACCCUGAGCAGACUACCCAACUUUAUAGAACCUCAUUUUCUCCAGGUUAAAGGGCAUAAUACAUAAGAGGAUUAAGGAUAUAAAACGAUGUGUGCAAAGCAGUACAAACUGCAAGUCCCAAGUAGUCCCCUUCUCUGACUCAAUGGCUGAACAGGUCACUUGACUGGGGGCUGGGGCAAGGAGCUGUCAAGAAGACUCCUUCCAGCAGGACAGGGCAAGAUGGUCCUCGUGCUGUUUCAUAGACCCCUGCUCUGUGCUUUCCCCGUGUUGUUACUCCAACCUAUAGGAGACAGAGAUGCAGAGAGAGCCCUACCUCUCCAAGAUCACACAGCUGCUUCACAACAGAUUGGAGUCAAAACUCUGGCCCUUGACAUCUUCCUGCAGUGCCUGUCUCCAAGCCCUUUUGUCCUUCAGCCUGAGGAGGGAGUCACAGCCCAAGAAAAUGGCUUUAGUAUUUUCCUGUAGACAUAGCUGUCUCCCAGAACUGUGGAUUUGGUCUUUAGACCUCAUGGGGAAUUUGUAUCCUCCUGGCCAAGCAGCCCUCAAAAGACUGUCCCUUUCCCUGUGAAUACAUAGUCACACAACUGCAUGUGGAUCACAGCUGGCCAUAGUCCCUAGUUUGGGUUUUGUGGCUUGCCCUGGUAGCUGGGACUCUGGGUAAAGCACCCUCUUGCCAUACAGGGGGAUAUGGCAAUCGGUGGCUACAGAACUACUGAAAUAAGAAUAAAGUUUCUCCUACAACCCCACUCCUCAUUUGAAUAAAGUCCAGGAUUGCAAAGAAGUGAUUCAGCCUUCACAACCAGCCUUAGACCUGCACUGCCUCCCUGCCUAAGAACGCCCCACCCAUCUCGGUGCUCCAGGCCUGGCCCAAGCUUUGACAGCUUAACCAGCAGACCCCACACUGUCACUGUGUGGCCACCAGCCAGCUGCCUCGUCUCUCUAUGCUUUACACUCUGUCAGUAACUAUUGGCUCCAUGGGAGGAGCCCAAUCAUUUCACUAAAAUCUUAAAGGGCUCCUUUAGAAAUUAAGUGACAUGAUUUAGACAGAGUUGUAUGGGGACAUACGGCAACCACAGUGUCAGCACCUCUCUCCAUUCCCCAUAAGCCCCUUCAGACCUCAGUAAUCCUAUGACUCCAGAUUCCAUUACCCACUGGGGGUGGGGUAUAGUCCAGAAGAGGCGUCUGGACCCCACUCAGCUCAGCUGUAGUGGAGGAGGGCUGAUGCCCCCUUCUGGGCAAGCCUCCUCCAGCUCCAUUAUCUCAGCCUGGGACAAAAGGACUGAGUGGAGAAUCCCAUUGUGGGGCCUCCGUAUGGAGAUCUCAUUAAUCUAUUCAUCGGGGCUCCCACAGGCCUUUUGUCAUAGGCUUUUUGUCUACUGCUUACAACUCAGGUCCCAGGGGGUCGGCAGUCCCUGGCAGAGCCUGAACAGGCUUCACUACUCUGGCCCCUGCCCUUCAUGCCAACCCCCAGCUAUUGAAAAAGGAGAGAGAGACAGUGGCCUGGGGACCUGGCAUACUGGGCAUUUGCCCCAGUCGUUGCAAUUACCACACAGAAGGCUCUCUCCCAGUUCCAGGACAGAGAGAAAAGAACAGAGGAAUCCUCCUGCUUAGGGGAUGCUCUGGGGCCAGACAGAACCUAGUAUAGGUGGGGCUCAAUGCAUGUCUAGGAAUUAGCAGAAAUUGCCAGAAAAGUGACCAUGGUCCACAUUUACUAAAUAUACUGUCUUAUAGCCUUCCAACACUUUCAGAGUGUCACCAACCAUGUGCCAGCUAAUAGGCAGAAUUGGAUCAAACUGUGAUCCAAAUUUACAGCCUUGAUCAGCUGAGUGUGGUCAGGAAGAAAGGGAGAGGAAAGGGGGGGAAAAGGAAUGGGGAGGAGUCAGCCAAAGAAAAUAGAACAUUAGAGUCAGGAGGAAUGGGCAAGGGCAGUUAACAUAGCACUGUAUACUUGAAAACUGCCGAAAGACUAAAUGUCCUCACCACAAAUAACCCUGCGAAGUGAUGUAAGAACUAGUGUAAUUUAGCCUUAUAACAGUAUAUUCAUCAAAAACAUUCAAAUUUUUGUUGUCAAUUAAAAAUUAAGUUAAAAAAUCACUAGUUUUUGUUUUUUGUUUUGUUUGUUUUUGGUUUUUGUUUGUUUGUUUUUUCUCAAGACAGGGUUUCUCUGUAGCUUUGGAGUCUGUCCUGGAACUCACUCUGUAGUCCAGGCUGGCCUCUAACUCACAGAGAUCCACCUGCCCCAGCCUCCCAAGUGCUAGGACACAAAUCACUACUAUUCUUACAGCUCUGAUAACGGUUGGGUUUUUCGAUGCUAAUGGGACUCACAGGGAUACAGUUGGCAGAGUUUUUUGUCUUGUUUCACUUUUAAUGUGUAUGAGUGUCUUUCCUUUAUGUAGAUCUUUGCACCAAGUGCAUACCUGGUGCCCAAAGAGUUUUUAAAAGAUUUUUUUAAUGUAUGUAUGUGUGUAUGUGUGUGUUUUUAUGUGGGGCUAUGUGUGGGGGGGUGCAAGUACCAGCAGAUGCCAGAAGAGGGAGCUAGACUUACAGGCCACCCAACAUGGAUGCUAGGAACCUGCUAUAGAAUAUUAUUUUAACUAGGCAAAGAUGUGUUACAUUUAAGCUGCUGAAUAUUAUAUUAACCGUGUAAGGGUGUGUUACAUUUGUUUAUACUGCAUUUGUUUGAUUAUGAAAAAAUGUGUUUC